GGAAACCUACCUCUUAGCAGGGGAUAACAUUUGGAAACAGAUGCUAAUACCGUAUAACAAUGACACCGCAGGGUUGUUAUUUAAAAGAUGGUUCUGCUAUCACUAAGAGAUGGUCCCGCGGUGCAUUAGCUAGUUGGUAAGGUAAUGGCUUACCAAGGCGAUGAUGCAUAGCCGAGUUGAGAGACUGAUCGGCCACAAUGGGACUGAGACACGGCCCAUACUCCUACGGGAGGCAGCAGUAGGGAAUCUUCCACAAUGGGCGAAAGCCUGAUGGAGCAACGCCGCGUGUGUGAUGAAGGGUUUCGGCUCGUAAAACACUGUUGUAAGAGAAGAAUGACAUUGAGAGUAACUGUUCAAUGUGUGACGGUAUCUUACCAGAAAGGAACGGCUAAAUACGUGCCAGCAGCCGCGGUAAUACGUAUGUUCCAAGCGUUAUCCGGAUUUAUUGGGCGUAAAGCGAGCGCAGACGGUUAUUUAAGUCUGAAGUGAAAGCCCUCAGCUCAACUGAGG
rnacentral:rRNA from 1 species